rnacentral:lncRNA from 1 species
UCACAUAUAGCUUCACAUAAAACUUAUUCACAUCAUUCCUUCACAUAUAGCUUCACAUAAAACUUUACAUAUAGCUUCAUAUAGGACUUUACAUAUAGCCUCAUUCAUAUAUAAUAAUAUAACAAUACAAUAACACUCAUAUAAUGCCCUUCAUGGCCUCAAUUCACAAUAAUACAAUAUUCCAACAUUAUGCAACAACUUCCCCAAUGCCUUCAUGGCUACAAUUCACAAUAAUACCACACAAGAACAAGAUAUAACACUUCCACCAAAGGUAGAUUCAACCUACCAACAACAAUUAAUUCAAUAAAGAGAGUUCAAGCUUUCUUACCAUAAUUCAAAGCCAUAGCC